ACGGGUGAGUAACGCGUGAGCAACCUGCCUCAAACAGGGGGAUAACGCAUCGAAAGAUGUGCUAAUACCGCGUAAGACCACAGCAUCACAUGGUGCAGGGGUCAAAGGAGCAAUCCGGUUUGAGAUGGGCUCGCGUCCGAUUAGCUAGUUGGUGAGACAACAGCCCACCAAGGCGACGAUCGGUAGCCGACCUGAGAGGGUGAUCGGCCACAUUGGAACUGAGAGACGGUCCAGACUCCUACGGGAGGCAGCAGUGGGGAAUAUUGGGCAAUGGGCGAAAGCCUGACCCAGCAACGCCGCGUGAGGGAAGAAGGGUUUCGGCUCGUAAACCUCUGUCCUAUGGGACGAAGGAAGUGACGGUACCAUAGGAGGAAGCCCCGGCUAACUACGUGCCAGCAGCCGCGGUAAUACGUAGGGGGCGAGCGUUGUCCGGAAUGAUUGGGCGUAAAGGGCGCGUAGGCGGCCUGGUAAGUCCGGAGUGAAAGUCCUGCUUUUAAGGUGGGAAUUGCUUUGGAUACUGCUGGGCUUGAGUGCAGGAGAGGAAAGCGGAAUUACCGGUGUAGCGGUGAAAUGCGUAGAGAUCGGUAGGAACACCAGUGGCGAAGGCGGCUUUCUGGACUGAAACUGACGCUGAGGCGCGAAAGCGUGGGGAGCAAACAGGAUUAGAUACCCUGGUAGUCCACGCGGUAAACGAUGAGUGCUAGGUGUAGGAGGUAUCGACCCCUUCUGUGCCGCAGUCAACACAAUAAGCACUCCGCCUGGGGAGUACGGCCGCAAGGUUGAAACUCAAAAGGAAUUGACGGGGGCCCGCACAAGCAGCGGAGCAUGUGGUUUAAUUCGAAGCACCGCGAAAAACCUUACCAGGUCU
rnacentral:rRNA from 1 species